rnacentral:lncRNA from 1 species
GUUACUGUAACAGUACCUCAGUUUAUGUUUAUUGGAAUGCAUUGUAGAGAAGUCUUUGAAAUGAAGCAUACGCAGUGGAAUUUAUUUAAAUUUCAAAUCGUGUAUGAAUUACUCGGUUUCUUCUCUAGUUGGAGCAUUUCUGUACCCAGACAGGAUGGUUGCAACUUUUCUAACCACAAGUGUGUUUAUAGUAAAAUUUCUGCCAUCCUGAGCCACUGCAACUUUGUUUCUUAACCUGAAAUUUUGUAUCCAUUUUUUUCCUGCAGAGUCACCACACUUUAGCUAACACCCUUGGUUUUCCAUAUAACUGUAUAUUUUUUUUCAAGCCAGACCUAGUAUAGGAAUGGCAAAAGCAACCUUCCCUCCUUUCUCUUGGGGUGUCGCUGAGUUGAAAGUUGGUCAGCUUGGCCAGCUCCUUCCUACCAAGGCAAACAAUGAUGGUUUACGUAUAGACUGGGGGCAAAUCUGUAAAAUCCUUAUUUUUGUAGGUUAAGGAUGCUACCUAUGAGAUUCCAGAUUUUCCACCAACCAUUAAAGGUGUUCUUUGGGAAAACUGGCCAGUGGAUAAAGGUGUGUUUAUUGCCUAUGAUGACGAUAAGGUGUACACUUAUGUCUUUCACAAGGACACUAUACAAGGAUCCAAGGUCAUAUUGGCUGGCGGCACCAAAGUUCCCUUCUCUCACAAACCUUUGCUGUUAUAUAACGGAGAGCUGACCUGCCAGACCCAGAGUGGAAAAAUCAACAACAUCUACCUUAGCACCCACAGCUUCCUCGAAAGUUUAAAAGACGUGGGGCCUAAUGAACGGAGGCAGAUGCUGACACAGACUUUAAUGCUAAAAAGGUAGGGAGUUUGGGGAGGGGGUCUUGUUGUUUUUAAAUUUUUUUAACUGAGUGAAAGAUGCUUUAAAUUCUGUAGUGCUUUACAGUUUUCAAGAGGUUCACAAACAUGAUUUCAUCUAAUCCCGAUAAUGACCCUUUUUUUCCUCCUUCCUCUAUUUUGCCCUCCCCGCUGGUAACCAUCAGUUCAUUCCUGGGGAGCCUGCUUCUUUUUUGUUUUAUUC